UCAGAUAUGGGUGGAAUGGUGAUGG
rnacentral:miRNA from 1 species